GCCCGGAUGGUCUAGUGGUAUGAUUCGCCCUUAGGGUUAAGCCUUAUUUGGGCGAGGUCCCAGGUUCGAUCCCUGGUUCGGGCC